AAAUAUCAUCUCAUCCAUCUCCAUUUCCAAUAUCAUCUCUUGCAGCUCCAUUUUCUCCUUCUUUUUGCCUUUCCGAGAUUUCACUCCCUACGCACUUCACACCAAAACGCAAGCUUCAAAAAAAUCUGUUCUCAGCUGAUUUCACUUGGAUUUUGCUGUUGAAUUUUAUGUUAUUUAUUGAUACUGGUUGACUGUAUCUAACAGUCCUGAUUUUGUAGAACUGAAUCGAGUUCUAUUUUGAAGACUGAAACUGAGACUGAGAGGUAUUCUAAUGAGAACGGUGGAACCUUCAUCUGACAGGUUAAAACACCUCAUCAACGCUCAACUAGCAGGUUUGAUGUCUCAACCUACACUGGCUAUAUAGUUCUGGAACGCAAGGAUUGCUUUUAGAGAUCACACCCUCUACUAGCAGGUAAAAAUCGGGUUUAACAGUUUGGUGACUCUACUGGGGAUUCAAGUUUCUAACCAUUAUAGAUUUAGGUAAUUAUUUACGUUUUUAUACAUUGUUAUUUGUUUUAUACUAAUUUUCUUGAUUUAUCAUAUUUAUUUGACUUAAAUUAUUUAUUUGUUAUUAUUUUAUAGAUUGUUUAUUUGUUUAUCGCUUUAUAUAAAUUGUCAUUCCGUUCAUAUUUCCUCCAUUUUGGAAAACUGACACUCACAUAUAUUGUACAUGCGGAUUGUACAUUGUACUUUCCCCAAUUUUUUUCAAAUCACCUUAUUUUAGAGAGUUGGUGUACACGUGGGGUGAGCAAGAUUUUUACUGUCGUGGGACUACGUGCCCUCUCAUAUAGUAAAUCCAAGUCCGUGUCUACCCACUCUCAGUUAGCAUAGAAUAGAGCUACAAUAACACCUUUUUAGGUACAUGCAUUGUUAGUCAAUUUUAUCUAAAUGUUCGAAAGGUUUACGAUCCAGGUGACACAUUAUCAUAGUUUCUGUACAUAUUUGAAGAAUAAUUUUGCCUAUUUGCUAUCAAUUGGUUAUACUUUAGUGAGAAGGUGUGAUCUAACCUUUGUUUUGCAGUGCGGAUUAGUUAAAAAAUGCACCUUAGCUGUUUAUAAGUUUGAAUUACGUUUUGACCUGAUUCUUGUCCUGAUAAGAUACGUAGGCAACCCUACAUUAGGGUUCAAUCUCUUCACUGUUUUAGAAUAAUUUCUCCGUUACUCAAAACUGGGGCAAUUUUCUAGAAUAUAGUUCAAAGAUGCUCCCCAGAAGCCUUUAAGAGCGCAAAUUAAUAGCUCUUUAAAUUCAAAUUUCAUUAUCAUUAGUGUCUAGUCGGCCUACUUCCAAAUCCUCACCCAAUUUUGGUGUGAGAAUACCUAACUUGUUCUUUCGAAUGCUAUAAAUUAUUAAAUUUUUGGCGUAUCAAUUCUCACUUUCAAAAGCAAGGGUUCAAUACUUUUUCAGUUAUAACAAUUUUGUCAAUUGCGGCGAAAUAAUGUCGUAAUUUCUUCAAUGUCUGACUUUUUCAAUCUUGUCAGUAUGUUGAAGUAGUGUCAAAUCUCUCCCUAUGCAUGACAUUCAUUCUCUCGAUCAUUUAGUCAAAACAAUUUUGAUGUUAAAAGCAGUUCUUUCCUGAUCGUCUUUCAUAUUAUUUUUAAGAAUGACCAUUAUUUUUCUUACAAUUAUAUCAUUACACAUACUAAUUCAUAAAUUUGUUUGAACUACGCAGACCUAAGUAUGAUUCUUGAUGAACAUACUGAUUCUUGAUGAUAUGAUCUUGAUUAUGAGUAUGAUUGUGAGUACUUGACUUGUGUAAAUUCAAUGGUGGUAAUUGAUGAUAGUCAUAAACUUGACAAGUGACUGUUUAUGCGGAAUGUGGUAAAUCAUGAAUGUUGAUGAGUUGUUUAUAUGACUAUAUGCUUGGUGAUUUGAUCUUUAAUGCACUCUCCGAUGGUAUGAAAAGCGUGAUGAGUUCUUUACUUUAUAUUCUCUUGUGUGUACUCCCAGGUGGUAUGGGAUGCCAUGGUGAGUUCCUUUACGUUAUGCUUAUAAAUUUGUUUGUAUGACACCUUGAUCUUAUGCCAUUGUGAUGGUACUAAUGUUGCUUUGCUAUUUUAGAUUAUUUACUUCUUAUAUAAUGGUAUUGACACGUGAUGAAUUGAUAAGUUGUAGUAUUGUUCUAGUUUGAUUAUUGAUUAUAUAUAGUAAUGAUCAAGAUGAUUCGGGUUCAAUUUUGUACCUUGACUUAGAGAUAUUGUCUUACUUUAUAUCAUCUUCAUAUCAUGAUUUAGCUCAGUCGGCCGAUGAUACCCACUGAGUAUCCAUUGUUUUGGUACUCAUAUUACACUCACUAUACCCUUAUGGUGCAGACCCGAGUACUAGUUGUCGCCACUGAAUUGAGUUCAUGCUGCAUUGAUCUUUCGGAGACAGGGUGAGCUCUUGGAGAUUUGAGUCGCCUGUUUCCCUCUUGUCUUUAUUCAGUCUUUUGCAUUCGAGACGAAUGUAUAGAUUAUUUUAGACUAUAUGAGUUGUAUCCUUCUAUUGUCAAACUUAGAUACUUUUAUACUAAUACUACCUAGUCGUGGGACUGGUAAUUGUUUUAUGGAUUGUCUUAUUUUAAAGUAGAACGCUAUUGUGUAUGA